GUCCCCUUACGACGCGCGCGUCAUUCCAGUGUCGAAGUUCCCCACAGGCCCCUUAAGCGGGCCAUCGACGGCAAACGAGAGCAGAGGAUAGCCGACUCUCAAACUAACCUCAAUGUCAAUCCGCUUCCCAGCGGUCAUUCAGGCCACGGAUCUCUUGACGUUUCCAUGACAUCACUCGUGCGAGCAGGUCGGAGCGAGCGGGCGGAGAGCGUCGACAGUCGAACGAGUGAUACAAGCUUUCUCUCAGGACGUGGGUCACAUUCCACAAACGAACUUUCAAAAUACGUCCCCUUACGACGCGCGCGUCAUUCCACUGGCGAAGUUCCCCACAGUCCCCUUAAGCGGGCCAUCGACGGCAAACGAGAGCAGAGGUGGGGUUUCCCGAUGUACCUUUUUCACAGGAAUGGUUCUAAAU